UUCCAUCAUAAGGGUUCUAAGGAUUGGGUUGAAGUCUUCAGGCUUGGCAGCAAUCACCUUUAUCCCCUGAGCCAGCUUGCUGACUCUAGACAGUAAAUCAGUCAUUAUAAGAUAUAACAGUGCUGCUACUUUCACCUUGUGACUUAAACUGAAGGCAUUUGCAGACCUUGGCGGCAUCAUGACAUUGCUUUCAUUAGAAUCCUGAGGAUCUGCCUAGUAGCAAUGGCUGAGAAGUUUUAGAAAGUGAAACAAAGUUUGUAAUCCUUGCAGUGAAAGCCUUGAAGAAGACUUCUCAUAGUAGUCUAAUGAUAAGACUCCAAUUGAGAGAUGACAUAAGAAAGAUUUAACCCUAGAGGGAAAAGGGCCUGGAAGUUAGGAGAAGCUAAGUGGAAACUAUGUCAGAUGGCGAUUUCUUCAAAUUUUAAUAUAUAUUUUUGUCAACUGAAAUACUUUUAAAAUGCAUAUCUAAAUUCAGAAAAACUAGGAAUGAAGCUCAAAGGCAUUGCCCAAAGUCACUCCUCACUAGACAACAACCUCAACCAUCUACUUGAACUUUUCAUGGACUUCCAAGACUCUAGAAGCAUAAGAAAUAUUUAAAAAUAAAACAUAGCCUGUACAGUC